GUCUCGUCCCAUCAACGUAAACGCACUUUCGUCUCGUCACAUUUUAGUCAUCUCCGACUUAUGUUUAGCUCGUCAACGUUACGUCUUCGUCGUGGGAGAAAAGGGAAAUAUUUUAGUCAACGAAAACAACCAGUGUUGUUCUCGUGUGGAAAUUAAAGUUUAUCACUUUUGACAUGGUGUACUCGCAUUAUUAUGCCAUAUAAUAUCAUUAUCUAUAAUUUAAAAAAUGGUGUCAAUAAUAUCGUUUAUCGGCGAUAAUUUGUAGCACAAUUAUCGUCCAGCAAAAUUUGUUAUCGUGACAGGCCUAAAUACAGGUAACCA